GCGGGAUCCCAGGCCAUCACGGGGUCCUCUUGGUCAGAUGGGAAGCCGCUGCGGGGCGCAGGGCGUGCUCCGGCGCCAUGGGCUGCGGUGCCCUCUGCCCACGCAGACUCGGCCCAGGCCGAGCGACUCGGAUAACGGGUUGAACAAACGACCAAAUAACGGGCCAUUUAAACCCGAGCACUCCAAAGAACCCCGACAAUCUGGGCCAGCCUGAAAGGAUAAUUACGCUAAUUCCAAGAAGAUUUUGACUGUCACCCAUGCCUUGAUGAGCUUCUGUCGCGGUAGCUGUCGUUGGAGACGAUGACGCCAUCCUUCUCGUAGGCCACCUUCACGAUGUAGCGGUCGUCGUAGCAGACCACCCGCCUGCCGCUGACCUUGCGGGACGGGGUGAACACCAGCACGCC